rnacentral:rRNA from 1 species
UACGAAGGGGGCUAGCGUUGCUCGGAAUCACUGGGCGUAAAGCGCAUGUAGGCGGAUUGUUAAGUCAGGGGUGAAAUCCUGGAGCUCAACUCCAGAACUGCCUUUGAUACUGGCGAUCUCGAGUCCGGGAGAGGUGAGUGGAACUGCGAGUGUAGAGGUGAAAUUCGUAGAUAUUCGCAAGAACACCAGUGGCGAAGGCGGCUCACUGGCCCGGUACUGACGCUGAGGUGCGGAAAGCGUGGGAG